rnacentral:rRNA from 1 species
UAAUGGGUGAUGGCGUGCCUUUUGUAGAAUGAACCGGCGAGUUACGAUUUGAUGCAAGGUUAAGCAGUAAAUGUGGAGCCGUAGCGAAAGCGAGUCUGAAUAGGGCGUUUAGUAUUUGGUCGUAGACCCGAAACCAGGUGAUCUACCCUUGGUCAGGUUGAAGUUCAGGUAACACUGAAUGGAGGACCGAACCGACUUACGUUGAAAAGUGAGCGGAUGAACUGAGGGUAGCGGAGAAAUUCCAAUCGAACCUGGAGAUAGCUGGUUCUCUCCGAAAUAGCUUUAGGGCUAGCCUCAAGUGAUGAUUAUUGGAGGUAGAGCACUGUUUGGACGAGGGGCCCCUCUCGGGUUACCGAAUUCAGACAAACUCCGAAUGCCAAUUAAUUUAACUUGGGAGUCAGAACAUGGGUGAUAAGGUCCGUGUUCGAAAGGGAAACAGCCCAGACCACCAGCUAAGGUCCCAAAAUAUAUGUUAAGUGGAAAAGGAUGUGGCGUUGCCCAGACAACUAGGAUGUUGGCUUAGAAGCAGCCAUCAUUUAAAGAGUGCGUAAUAGCUCACUAGUCGAGUGACACUGCGCCGAAAAUGUACCGGGGCUAAACAUAUUACCGAAGCUGUGGAUUGUCCUUUGGACAAUGGUAGGAGAGCGUUCUAAGGGCGUUGAAGCAUGAUCGUAAGGACAUGUGGAGCGCUUAGAAG